UAAACUGGGAUUAGAUACCCCACUAUGCUCGGUUAUAAAAAAUCAACUUACAAUAAACACCGCCUGGGAAUUACGAGCAAAAGCUUAAAACCCAAAGGACUUGACGGUGCCCCACCCAUCUAGAGGAGCCUGUUUAAUAAUCGACACUACCCGAUAAACCCAACUGCUUUUUGAUUAUCAGCCUGUAUACCUCCGUCGCAAGCUUACCAUAUGAAUGAUCUAUAGCAAGCCCAAUGGAAUCAAACCCAAAACGUCAGGUCAAGGUGCAGCCCACAUAGCAGACAAGAAUGGGCUACAAUUUCUAUUUUAGACCAAACGAAAGGCCUCGUGAAAUCUUGCCAAGAAGGUGGAUUUAGUAGUAAAAAGAAAAUAGAGAGUUCUUUUUAAUAAGGCAAUGGGACAUGUACACACCGCCCGUCACCCUCA
rnacentral:rRNA from 1 species